UAGGGAAUAUUGCACAAUGGGCGAAAGCCUGAUGCAGCAACGCCGCGUGCGCGAUGACGGCCUUCGGGUUGUAAAGCGCUUUUCGGGGAGAUGAGGAAGGACAGUAUCCCCGGAAUAAGGCUCGGCUAACUACGUGCCAGCAGCCGCGGUAACACGUAGGAGCCAAGCGUUAUCCGAAUUCACUGGGCGUAAAGCGCGUGCAGGCGGCUCGGUAAGUUGGAUGUGAAAGCUCCUGGCUCAACUGGGAGAGGACGUUCAAUACUGUCGAGCUAGAGGGCGACAGAGGGAGGUGGAAUUCCCGGUGUAGUGGUGAAAUGCGUAGAUAUCGGGAGGAACACCAGUGGCGAAAGCGGCCUCCUGGGUCGCACCUGACGCUCAGACGCGAAAGCUAGGGGAGCGA
rnacentral:rRNA from 1 species